GUUGAUGUCCGCCACCGUGUUCUGCUCGAUAACCGCAGGGUUUGGUCCUGCUCGAGAACUGCAGCCAACCGCCAGACUUGAUGCAGCAACUGGCCUUGCCGACGACGGAGAAAGCAGGUGCAGAGCGCUGUCGGAUUUGGUCGAGAGGCUGGGCUCAGUGAGGAGGCGGCUGUGGCGGAUUCAAGUGAAGAAAACUCUAGAUCGGCGAUGGCAUGAACUCCAGAGCCACGAGGAUCGAGGAGCGGCAUGGAGCGGUGGACGCCAUCUGGCGAGCCCAGCUAAAUAAGCACGCAGGUCAGUUCCCACCGGCCAUCUCUCAAAAAUUCCCUGAACCGAGUCCUAAUUAUCUAUUCUUGGUUUGCCAUUUUAUAAUGCAGUUCGGAAAGAAUUGAAUUCAGUUUUGUUUUCUUAGUUCCACAUCUAGAUUGCAGAUGAUACGAUUCUCUGUUUUUUCACAUUGAAAUCAUGCUUACAUGUCACAACAUUAUCUUCCUAAUUGAUGCCCCGCUAGAUGUUUGCAAGAUCAAAGGUAACAUGGAGUUGCUCUUACAGUAGAAUAAUACAGCUUGCUUUUUUGGUAGUGCAGGCUGAAACGAUGAGCUGCAUGAUUGGUCUCCAUUUAGUGUGCAUUUCUGAACUCUGAAUGAUGAGUUUCCUUCUUAGUUUUUGUUGUUCAAUAUAGAUUUUUGCCGAUUUGGGCCAUACUCAGUACACUGUAACAUGGCUCUCUCCGACCACGUCUGCAUGACAUGGGAGCUUGCUACCAUCAAUGAACAUACGGGAGGUUGCUAGCAUCAAUGAAAGAGGCUGGCUGUAAUUGUCCGUGCUCUGUGAUGUUGAGUUAUCCAAGCUGUCUGCCUUAUUGAGGAUUGCAAAAAUAAGUGUCAGCAAGACUACAGUGGGAAAGGUUUUCCCCAUGAUCAGUGGGUCGCUGCUGAUUUGAUCCUGGUGAAGUGUGUUGGGCUAGGAGGGGCGCGGUGACAUUGAUGCUUACUUGAGGACAAAGAUCGCUUGAGAACGGAUAGAAGAGCUGAUGCAUGCAAGAUAAUAGUAGCUUG